GUUGGCUUAGAAGCAGCCAUCAUUUAAAGAAAGCGUAAUAGCUCACUGGUCGAGUCGGCCUGCGCGGAAGAUGUAACGGGGCUAAACCAUGCACCGAAGCUGCGGCAGCGACACUUUAGUGUUGUUGGGUAGGGGAGCGUUCUGUAAGCCGUUGAAGGUGUCCUGUGAGGGGUGCUGGAGGUAUCAGAAGUGCGAAUGCUGACAUAAGUAACGAUAAAGCGGGUGAAAAGCCCGCUCGCCGGAAGACCAAGGGUUCCUGUCCAACGUUAAUCGGGGCAGGGUGAGUCGACCCCUAAGGCGAGGCCGAAAGGCGUAGUCGAUGGGAAACGGGUUAAUAUUCCCGUACUUGGUGUUACUGCGAAGGGGGGACGGAGAAGGCUAUGUUGGCCGGGCGACGGUAGUCCCGGUUUAAGCGUGUAGGUGUGUGUUCCAGGUAAAUCCGGUUCACUUUAACACUGAGGCGUGAUGACGAGGCACCACGGUGCUGAAGCAACAAAUGCCCUGCUUCCAGGAAAAGCCUCUAAGCAUCAGGUAACAUCAAAUCGUACCCCAAACCGACACAGGUGGUCAGGUAGAGAAUACCAAGGCGCUUGAGAGAACUCGGGUGAAGGAACUAGGCAAAAUGGUGCCGUAACUUCGGGAGAAGGCACGCUGACAC
rnacentral:rRNA from 1 species